CAACUUUGAUCUAAAUCAAUUGAAAUUUGUCAAAUAUAAAUACUUAUUUUUCCCUAGAUAUGCUGAAGGUUCUUUAGAAUCUUAGGAGUCAUUGAUUUCUCACAUUUCCUUAAUGUGGACCUUCCUACCCAACUACUCCUCAAUUCUAUUUCUGUUACCGAUCAUUUAGCAUUAAUAGCUGAGAGCAACAAAACAUACCAAGAAAACAAGUUGAGACUUAGCCACUAAACUAACACCACACAAGACUAAUACAAAACACAAUACAUCAAACCAAACCCAGGCACAAUGAUCCAAAGGAAACAAGGGAAAAAAGACGCAAAAUCCCUAUGCCAAGCCCAACAAAAAUGCACAGCCAUGCCGAACCAAUUAAAGCACAAACCAACAAUAUCCUCAAACACCUCUGCUCACACCACAUAAACAACAGCAAAACCAUAUAAAAACGCAAAAGACAGAGUUCGAAUGGCAGAAAAA
rnacentral:lncRNA from 1 species